UAAAUAUGUAGAACACAAGCAGUUUCUGAAUUUAGCUCCUGGUGUUUUGUCUUGGUUCCAAAUACAGUAAUGUUUAUAUUUUCUAUUAGUUUGUAAAUAUGGACUCUGGGUGGUGCAUUUGUGUCUUCAUGCCAUGGGAUAUCCCCCUCUCCCCAACCCCACCUCCUCUCUAUUUUGUUUUUCUUUCUUUUUUGCAAAGGUGACUUUCUGGCAACAUCUCUGUCUUUGUUUGGUGGUGGGCUUCUUGGGCUCCUGGACCUCAACUUGCCCCCAAAUUUUGUGUGGGCAGUGAAGGCUUCAGCAUCAUGAAGGACACUUUCUUUCUACAGCAAAGGACUCAAAAAACAGAUAAAACAAUCUAGUCUCCCAUUUUAUAUUCUAGUCAAACAACACACAUGCCAAGCAUAUAAAGAUAAGGGGGUGGAAAAUAUCUGAAUGAGAAAGGCUCUAAAGGAAGUCACUUAGAAGCAAGUUUAAUGUGAAAUGUUUUACAAAGACACUUAAAAUGAACUUUAUGUUAAGAAAACCACUGUGAAACUAAAUUGUACUGUUAUUGUUGGCUUACCUGUGUGUUCAGCAAUCACAGCCCAAAAUUAUGUUGUAACUUAAAGAAAAUGGAAAAUUCUGCUCUAAUGAAUGUAACAAUGGCUUGCUGUGAAGUUUACAUUGUUGUACAGAACAUGUUUCACAUGUACGUAAAUUGGUGGUGGUAUUAGAAAUACAAAUGCUAUUUAAUUUUAAUGAAUUCCCUUUAUUCAUUUCUGGAAUUACAGGAUGCAGAUUAACUGAUAAAUCUUACUAGACCAAUUUCUUUUUCACUUUAAUGUUAAUAAUAGAGCUGUGGGAUAUAUGUGUGUGUGAGCAUGUGAUUAUGUGUUGUAUUUUGAAACAAUUGAUUUUUCUUUGGUAAAAUUCUACAGUUCUUAUACCUUCUGUUUAGGAAAUUCUUCCUGCUUGGCAAUAUAGGCUUUAAAAUACAUUUUUAGAACAUUGGUACAAUUCAUUUAUUGGAAAAUUAAUAUAUUGUGGGCUUUUUUUGGUAUUAAUUCUGUGCAAUAACUAAAAGGGCACCUCAUUAGAUAUGGAGGUUAAAGAUGCAUUCAUUGAGUGAUUUCAACUUCUUCAUAUCUGUGCUGUGCACAGCGACAUG
rnacentral:lncRNA from 1 species